rnacentral:rRNA from 1 species
AGAACGAACGCUGGCGGCGUGGAUAAGACAUGCAAGUCGAACGCUUGUUUUGCUGUAGCAACACAGCAGAGCAGGAGUGGCGCAAGGGUGCGUAACACGUGGGUAAUUUGCCAUGGAGUUGGGGAUAACUCGCUGAAAGGCGAGCUAAUACCGAAUGUGGUUUUUGGAGGCAUCUCUGGAAGACUGGAAGGUUGGGGACCGCAAGGCCUGACCGCUCCAUGAAUAACGCCCGCGGCCUAUCAGCUAGGUUGGCGAGGUAACGCUACACCGAAGGCAUCGGACGGGUAGCGUGGUCUGAGAGGAUGAUCAGCCAACACGUGGGACUGGAAGACCGACGACCCAGACCGUCCGAGGG